CUUUCUUCUCCUCCCUCACUCCCUCCUCUUCUGUCUCUCUCUGCAACCUCUCUGGAUAUCUGUCUUCAUCUACAUCUCUGCAUCUCUGAGCAUCUUGGCCUUCCUCUCCCUGCCUCCGCCGCCCCCCCCCCCCCAGGGACUCACAUUCCCUAAAUACUAAUGACUGGGAUUUGCAGUGCCCUGGGCUCAGUUAAAUUCUGCUCCCCAGCUCUGCCAUCAUCUGCCUUUGCCUGAAGGUGAGAAACUGCGGGCUUGGAGGUGGUGGGGGCCACCUGCAGGGUUUUGGGGGAAGGGAAGGAGAGGGGGAGGAGAAUCUGGGAAUUGGCUCCUCCCCUCCCCUCUCCCUCUUUCCUCGGGUGCCUGGAUGGCCCUGGAAGGAUCCCUACCAGGAGCCAAAGCUGGAGACUCAGGAACGGAAGGAUCCAGCAGGGAGAGUUGAAAACUGCCUGCUUAGGGGAGGGUCUUGGAGGCUCUGUUUUUCUGGAUAGUGGCGUCCCCAAACCCAACCAG
rnacentral:lncRNA from 1 species